GAUGAACGCUGGCGGCGUGCCUAAUACAUGCAAGUCGAGCGAACGGACGAGAAGCUUGCUUCUCUGAUGUUAGCGGCGGACGGGUGAGUAACACGUGGAUAACCUACCUAUAAGACUGGGAUAACUUCGGGAAACCGGAGCUAAUUCCGGAUGAUAUUUUGAACCGCAUGGUUCAAAAGUGAAAGACGGUCUUGCUGUCACUUAUAGAUGGAUCCGCGCUGCAUUAGCUAGUUGGUAAGGUAACGGCUUACCAAGGCAACGAUGCAUAGCCGACCUGAGAGGGUGAUCGGCCACACUGGAACUGAGACACGGUCCAGACUCCUACGGGAGGCAGCAGUAGGGAAUCUUCCGCAAUGGGCGAAAGCCUGACGGAGCAACGCCGCGUGAGUGAUGAAGGUCUUCGGAUCGUAAAACUCUGUUAUUAGGGAAGAACAUAUGUGUAAGUAACUGUGCACAUCUUGACGGUACCUAAUCAGAAAGCCACGGCUAACUACGUG
rnacentral:rRNA from 1 species